GUCCCUUCGGGGACAUCCGAUAAAAUUGGAACGAUACAGAGAAGAUUAGCAUGGUCCCUGCGCAAGGAUGACAAAAAAAAAAAAAAAAAAAAAAAACUUUUC